GACGAACGCUGGCGGCGUGCUUAACACAUGCAAGUCGAGCGGGGUCCAACCACUGGCAACAGUGGGAAGACCUAGCGGCGAACGGGUGAGUAACACGUGAGGAACCUGCCCCAGAGACCGGGAUAACCCUCCGAAAGGAGAGCUAAUACCGGAUGCCCUUGUCGGAUCGCAUGGUCUGAUGAGGAAAUGGAUUCCGCUCUGGGAGGGCCUCGCGGCCUAUCAGCUUUGGGUGAGGUAACGGCUCACCAAGGCUAUGACGGGUAGCUGGUCUGAGAGGACGACCAGUCACACUGGAACUGAGACAACGGUCCAGACACCUACGGGUGGCAGCAGUCGAGAAUUUUUCUCAAUGGGGCAACCCUGAAGAGCGACGCCGCGUGGAGGAUGAAGGCUUUCGGGUUGUAAACUCCUGUCAUUUGAGAACAAGGUGCAUCGGUUAACUGCCGGUGCAUUGAUAGUA
rnacentral:rRNA from 1 species